AUACGUAGGGAGCAAGCGUUGUCCGGAAUUACUGGGCGUAAAGGGCGCGUAGGCGGGAUAUUAAGUUAGGUGUGAAAACUCCGGGCUCAACUUGGAGACUGCACUUAAAACUGGUAUUCUUGAGGACAGGAGAGGAAAGUGGAAUUCCUAGUGUAGCGGUGAAAUGCGUAGAUAUUAGGAGGAACACCAGUGGCGAAGGCGACUUUCUGAACUGUAACUGACGCUGAGGCGCGAAAGCGUGGGUAGU
rnacentral:rRNA from 1 species